UACGGGGGGGGCAAGCGUUGUUCGGAAUUACUGGGCGUAAAGGGCCAGUAGGCGGCCAACUAAGUCGGAUGUGAAAUCCCCAGGCUUAACCUGGGAACUGCAUCCGAUACUGGCAGGCUUGAAUCCGGGAGAGGGAUGCGGAAUUCCAGGUGUAGCGGUGAAAUGCGUAGAUAUCUGGAGGAACACCGGUGGCGAAGGCGGCAUCCUGGACCGGCAUUGACGCUGAGGCGCGAAAGCCAGGGGAGCAAACGGG
rnacentral:rRNA from 1 species